GGCUCCUUUGGCUCUAUUACACUUCCACAGCACAAGAGUGUCAAAACUCAAGAAUUGAGGGACCAUUGUGCUGGGCACUGUACAGAGAAGAUCCUCCAACUCAAGAGCUCACAAUCUAGGUGUCAGACAGACGUGAAAGGACUUCAGCAUCACAAUGCUCUGCUAAACCAAAGCACUGGCACAACCUACACUGGACCCACUGUUAAAAUGAUGGUCCAAAUUCUGUGUGCCCUUGAAUUAGUGUGGGGACUCCAUCUGACUUCAAUGGGAGCUCAUCCAAGGGUAAAAUGUGGCCCUUAAAAGGAGAUCAGGGUAGGGAAAAG